ensembl:lncRNA novel transcript, antisense to ARNT2
UCAAUACAGGAGGACUUUCGCAGCAAAGUAGAGGUACAAGUGCUCACACAUUCCUCGGUUCAUUGAAUCAGGGGGCCACACAUUCAGUAGCAGCCUACUUCUAGCUCUGGCUUCAUCACUAUUUUCCUCAGUUUCUCCUCAGCUAAGACAUGGAGUUUAUCAGGACAUUAUUUCCUUUUGCAGAGGUUGCUGUGAGAAAGUGGUCUCUGUUUCAAUUAUAAGCAGCAUUUGCAAAGCUCUUCUUUUGAGCCAGGGGCUGUGCUAGAAGCUGAACGAUGGUCAGAGAUGAAAGGACCCAAUCCUGCCUCUGACAAGUUCAGCUUAAGUGUGAUGGAGGCACAGAGCCUAGUAAUUUCACACUGAGAAAUGCAUGCUGUGAGGGAUGCUGGAUACCAUGUGGUGGGGAAGGCUGGGAAGAUCUGAGAAGGCUUCCUGGAGGACACCACCCCUAUGCUAACCUGGCAAUGGACUGCAAAAAAUGCUCUGGGAGGAACGAAGUACGAUGGGAAAGAUGCCGUUUCCUAAAAAGCGUUCCUUUGACUGCUCCAGAAUUUCUGAGCAGAGUCAUUUAGCCCCCUCUGAGGGGUAUGCUUUCUUGUUCAUUUCCAGUCCCUGGAGAUUUCUGGUCUUUUAUCCCAACUGCAACUCCCUACAGAUCGAGAGUUAUUCCCCCACUCAAAUGCAACGCUCUUGUCUAGAUCUCUGCUCAGAUCCCUGAUCAUAACCGAUGGCAAAUGCACAAAUAGACAGAAAUAUCUGUAUUCGCAGCAGUCUGACUCCAAAUGCAAAUAUCCCCUCAGGAAAUUGUUUCCCAUUACACACAGAGGGGAAAUGACUGUCUGCUCUUAGGCAAAGUUGGAAUGAGGUUUGGAGCUCAUUUAAAAAUCAGUACAAGCUAAAGAUUUUGUAAGGUUCACCGUAACACAGAAAACAUAUCUGGCUUAUAAUGCAGCAUCUAGCUACAGACUAUUUCACAUUUCAGAUGCAGACGUACUGUGUAGAAUUCCUAUAAUACAGUGUAGGCAGCGAAAACCUGGAAAAAACGUGGAACUUGAGAGCAUUACAGAUGAAAGGAACAGGAGGAAAUGGAAAAAAAGACAUCUUGCUCUCCCUACAUUUCAUGUGAAUCCAAAACAAUUCUCUUCACAGAAAGCACAUCAAAUAUCACAGCCCUACCUUUUCAGAGGGAUUAAACAAAGAUCUUUCUUCCUUGUGACCAACACCUUCUUAGGAGAAUCUGUUAUCCGUGUAGAAGAAAUGUCAGAAACCUCUGGGAGGAAAUGUAGCUGCAUUUGUAUUCUGCUGAGAAAAUGUCAUCACAGAUCUGUUUACCUUAACUGUGGACCAUGAUUCAGCCGUGACAACUGUCUUGCAUACUGAUCAAUUUAUUUGCAGCAAAAUUUCUAGCAUUAACUGCUUAGGUUCUGAAAAAUCGGUUACUUGGAUUUCCUAUGAAACCAUAACAAAUGCAUAUUUGAAAAAUCUAGAUUCUUAUCCAAACAUUUUAGUGAGAGAUAAUAAAGGAUUUUUCUUGAAGUCCAAGCAAGGGAGGGUCCCUCUUACUUCUGGAAUGAAGACAGGGCACAUGAUUCCCAAAGGGCCUCCAUGGGGUAGCAUUUUUAUAGCACAAUGUACAGAAAAUCAUUAGACUGAGAAUCAGAGAACUCUGACUGCAGAUCCAUGCUCGGCUUUAACCAGCCGUGAGAUCCUCUGUAAGACAUUCUUUUCUGAUCAGCAGGCUGGGCCAAGGUCUCUGCAAUAGAGAAGAGGAUGGCCACUGGACCUGGGAAAGCAAGAAGAGGCCAGGUCCUGUCUCCUCUGGCUGGUGCUUCCAGCCUGGAUACCGAGCCCUGGAUGCCUGCCUGAGCCCCUUCUAGUAGGCAGGCAGGUUUUGGCAUUAGGGAAUUGAAACCAGUCCCAAGGCAGCCCGGGGAGAUGCCCUCCCACCUCAGCUAACAGUGCUGGCUCAGGUAGAGCUCUGGCUCUCCUCUGGAACAGGGGCACUGCACUACAGCACACUAUGGUGUCACUCCCCAUGUUCCCACUAGUGUCCGAACCCACUAACUCCAGCUUCCUUCUCCACCCUGUGGGCUGAAGUCCUGUAAUCUCUGUGCUGAAAUUUGUAAAAGGAGUAAAAAUAAAACAGACCCAGCAAGAAGAUGGGUAACCAGUAAUUCCAAUGGAAGAAAAGUGGAGAGGCUGCUGUCAAGGAUAUGAUUCUGGAGCAAGACAACAAGGAUGAGUGACCCAUUCAACCUGCC